CGGAAGCCGGGUCUUGGCGGCAGUCGACAGGAUCGCCUGACGCGGGCACAGCGUCCUCCAAGAGGCCACCUUGCUGAGAGGCAGACUUCCCAUCCACAAAAUGGGAUAUUGAUUCCUAAUAAACACCUUGCACCUAAACUCUGUCUUCGUGUCUGCCUGCAUAGAACCCAACCUGCAACACAAAUUCUGAUUCCUGGAGGUCAGGUGUCUGUGCUUUUAGGAGCAGCCGCAAGGUGCUGGGCCACCUGAGUCUGCCAUGCAUGGGCCACGGGCUCCUACCGACCCUCCUGAUGCUCACAGCCCUGGCACUGGGGUUGGGCAGUGGGGACAGGACACAACAGUGCUGCCAAUCCCUGAUGCCCAUGCUCAAGACCAUGAGAGGAGGAAAGACCAAGAUGACGAAACUCAGGCUCAGAGUGGUGAACUGGCUCGCCCAAGGUGACAGAGCUGAGUUCCAGAGAUGGAACUCAGAUCCGUCUGCUUCAGAAUUUGUGCCCUUUCUUGGACAGGACAAAGCAGUUUGUGGAGUUCCAGUUUGUAGGCGUUGGCGGUGUUUCUUGUGUUUUGCUGUUCUGAAUAAAG
rnacentral:lncRNA from 10 species